UACGGGGGGGGCAAGCGUUGUUCGGAAUUACUGGGCGUAAAGGGCUCGUAGGCGGCCAACUAAGCCGGAUGUGAAAUCCCCAGGCUCAACUUGGGAACUGCAUCCGAUACUGGAUGGCUUGAAUUCGGGAGAGGGAUGCAGAAUUCCAGGUGUAGCGGUGAAAUGCGUAGAUAUCUGGAGGAACACCGGUGGCGAAGGCGGGUCUCUGGGCCGAUACUGACGCUGAGGAGCGAAAGCGUGGGGAGCGAACAGG
rnacentral:rRNA from 1 species